rnacentral:pre_miRNA from 8 species
AGAUACGUAUCCAUACCCAUAUAUGUGUGUAGAUACGUAUCCAUACACACAUAUGUGUGUAUAGAUACGUAUCCA